AUUGAACGCUGGCGGCAGGCCUAACACAUGCAAGUCGAGCGGAUGAGGGGUGCUUGCACUCUGAUUCAGCGGCGGACGGGUGAGUAAUGCCUAGGAAUCUGCCCGAUAGUGGGGGACAACGUUUCGAAAGGAACGCUAAUACCGCAUACGUCCUACGGGAGAAAGUGGGGGAUCUUCGGACCUCACGCUAUCGGAUGAGCCUAGGUCGGAUUAGCUAGUUGGUGAGGUAAUGGCUCACCAAGGCUACGAUCAGUAACUGGUCUGAGAGGAUGAUCAGUCACACUGGAACUGAGACACGGUCCAGACUCCUACGGGAGGCAGCAGUGGGGAAUAUUGGACAAUGGGCGAAAGCCUGAUCCAGCCAUGCCGCGUGUGUAAAGAAGGUCUUCGGAUUGUAAAGCACUUUAAGUUGGGAGGAAGGGCUGUAGGCUAAUAUCCUGCAGUUUUGACGUUACCAACAGAAUAAGCACCGGCUAACUUCGUGCCAGCCGCCGCCGUAAGAC
rnacentral:rRNA from 1 species